GAUGAAGAACGUAGCGAAAUGCGAUAAGUAGUGUGAAUUGCAGAAUUCCGUGAAUCAUCGAAUCUUUGAACGCACAUUGCGCCUUCUGGUAUUCCGGGAGGCAUGCCUGUUCGAGAGUCAUUAACAACCGUUUCGAUCCCUUUCUUUCAGAAAUUACAAAGAGGAAAAGGGUUUGGUUAUGGUGGAGGAGGGAAAGGGAGCGUUUAGCCUGUAAAAAAAGAGGCUGUGUUCCGCCUCCCCCCCAAAAUUGUACAGGCGGUCGUGUGCGCCCACGCAUCGAGGUGUUGUAAAAGCUGCCACGGCACUUUUCACCUGUGCAGUGCGAGAUUGGCCAGCCGGUUUAAAAACCCCUCCAAACAAUCAAAGGUUGACCUCGGAUCAGGUAGGGAUACCCGCUGAACUUAAGCAUAUCAAUAAGCGGAGGA
rnacentral:misc_RNA from 1 species